GAUGAACGCUGGCGGCGUGCCUAAUACAUGCAAGUCGAGCGAAUUGACAGAGGUGCUUGCACCUCUCGAUUUUAGCGGCGGACGGGUGAGUAACACGUGGGUAACCUACCUAUAAGACUGGGAUAACUUCGGGAAACCGGAGCUAAUACCGGAUAAUAUUUAGCUUCGCAUGAAGCAAUAGUGAAAGACGGUUCUGCUGUCACUUAUAGAUGGACCUGCGGUGUAUUAGCUAGUUGGUGAGGUAACGGCUCACCAAGGCAACGAUACAUAGCCGACUGGAGAGGGUGAUCGGCCACACUGGGACUGAGACACGGCCCAGACUCCAACGGGAGGCAGCAGUAGGGAAUCUUCCGCAAUGGACGAAAGUCUGACGGAGCAACGCCGCGUGAGUGAAGAAGGUUUUCGGAUCGUAAAACUCUGUUGUAAGGGAAGAACAAGUACGUUAGUAACUGAACGUACCUUGACGGUACCUUACCAAAAAGCCACGGCUAACUACGUGCCAGCCGCCGCGGUAAGAC
rnacentral:rRNA from 1 species